GACGAACGCUGGCGGCGUGCUUAACACAUGCAAGUCGAACGGAAAGACCCUGCUUUUGUGGGGUGCUCGAGUGGCGAACGGGUGAGUAACACGUGAGUAACCUGCCCUUGACUUUGGGAUAACUUCAGGAAACUGGGGCUAAUACCGGAUAGGAGCUCCUGCUGCAUGGUGGGGGUUGGAAAGUUUCGACGGUUGGGGAUGGACUCGCGGCUUAUCAGCUUGUUGGUGGGGUAGUGGCUUACCAAGGCUUUGACGGGUAGCCGGCCUGAGAGGGUGACCGGCCCCAUGGGAACGGGGAUACGGCCCAGACUCUUCCGGAGGGCAGCGGGGGGAAUAUUGCACAAUGGGCGGAAGCCUGAUGCAGCAACGCCGCGUGCGGGAUGACGGCCUUCGGGUUGUAAACCGCUUUCGCCUGUGACGAAGCGUGAGUGACGGUAAUGGGUAAAGAAGCACCGGCUAACUACGUG
rnacentral:rRNA from 1 species